rnacentral:rRNA from 1 species
UACGGGGGGGGCAAGCGUUGUUCGGAAUUACUGGGCGUAAAGGGCUCGUAGGCGGCCAACUAAGUCAGACGUGAAAUCCCUCGGCUUAACCGAGGAACUGCGUCUGAUACUGGAUGGCUUGAGAUUGGGAGAGGGAUGCGGAAUUCCAGGUGUAGCGGUGAAAUGCGUAGAUAUCUGGAGGAACACCGGUGGCGAAGGCGGCAUCCUGGACCAACACUGACGCUGAGGAGCGAAAGCCAGGGGAGCAAACGGG